AUCAGUUCUGCGCAAAUAUUUGUUAAGAAGGACAAAGGAGGAAACUAUUGGACAUCUCAUGUUGGGGAAGGAAGAUAAUGUUGUAUUUUGUGCAAUGAGUGAACUGCAAAAACUGGUUUAUCAGAGAAUGCUACAGUUACCUGAGGUACGAUGCCUUAUCAAUAAGGAUCUCCCUUGUAGCUGUGGGGUUUAUCAGAGGAUGCUACAGUUACCUGAGGUACGAUGCCUCAUCAAUAAGGAUCUCCCUUGUAGUUGUGGAAGCCCUCUCAAGCAAGUCGAAUGUUGCAGAAGGACGGUUCCAGAUGGAAUCAUCUGGUCUUACCUUCACAGGGACAAUCCAGAUGGUUGUGAUUCAU
rnacentral:lncRNA from 1 species